ensembl:lncRNA
AAGUGAGUUUAAACAUAAUUUCUGAACUAAAAGAAUCUUACCACAAAGCCAUGGCAGGGAAAUGUGAGUUUGCUAAUUUGGCUUUUUUUUCCCUUCCCUUCCUCUGAGAGCUGCUAGUGUUGGCACUGGUUACCUGCCUUACCCAGGCAAGGCCUUCUGUGAUGAUGAGAUUUGCAAUCCACCUUGAGCAGGCAACUGGAAAGAUGAUCAGAUUAGCAGUUUCUUAUAAAAAUACACAUAAAUAACAACUCUCACCAUCUAACAUUAUCCCACCUGACAAGAAAAGUGGAUUGUGAUUAAAACUUCUAAGAAUAGAAACAAGUUUGGGCUGGUUUCUGUUCUCAUGAGGGUCUGCUCAGGGACUGAAGCAAGGAGAAGGAAGUUAGCCCGGCGGGGACGAAAGUUGGCCAUGCCCACACACUGUACUUCAGUAGUUUUCCAACACUCUGUAAAGCUUACUUCAGUGGCUUUCCUCUGCCUGUGAUGGUGGAACGGGUAUUUUUGCAGUUUUGGUUUAAAAAAAAAAAACAACCUGCACAAAUUAACAAAGACAGUGCAUUGGAGCAAAAAUCUCAAUCUGGGCACACCCUCUCAUCAGGGAGGGUAAAUAAACAGCUUUUCUCUAUUUUCAGCUCUCAUUCUUCACAUUCAAACUCCACCCAUUGUACCAGUCACCCCCAAAAGAAUCAGCAGGUCUUCUGGUAGAUGUAUAAAACCAGAACAAGUCACACUAUCACAUAGUGUGCUAUACAUCACCAGGUGCUCAACAUUAUCAAAGAGAGGACUUUCAACAGGUGUCAGAAGCCACAAUGUCAGGUAAAAGCUUCCAGGGACUGAAGGAACAAGCUGAAGGUGCAGCAAAAGAUGCUGCCAACACAUUGGGACAAGCCACUCAGGAUGCAGUCAACCAGAUUACAGAUGCAAGCCAGAAAGGUAGGAGCAAUGACGUUCAAAUUAAGAUGGAGCAGCUCAACACAAGCCAGAAGCGGCCAGUGCUCAUUCUCCUCUGUUCCACAGGUGUUCUCAGCCUGAAAGUCCUUGAUUUCAGUGACCACUUUAUAUAAACUUUAAUAUUUUAUAACAACUUUAACAUUUUUAUAACAACCUUUAUAAAUCUCACAAAAGGAUUUCAGGAUCUGUUGCUGAGUAGCUCCACACAGCUACUGCACAGGCAGACUGUAGUUGACACUAGCUGGCCAUCGAGUCUCAAGCACAGCGUUCAGACAUUGGCUUCCUAUUCAGAAAACUUGUGGGGACAGCUCUUCUUUCAAGAGCAUUAAGUAACCCUAUGUUACAUCUUGCUCCCCCCACCCUGGCCCUGAAGGCAGGGGUCUGUCCGGGUCCAGUCCUACACUGGAUCCCAGCAGCUGCUGGAGCAGCAGCUGGGGUCGAACAUUACAGAUCCUGCAGAUGAAAAGCUGCUGUCUAGAAAGUGUUGGCAUCUUGCAGCUGGAGACUGGGACCAAGCUAAACUAAAAACUAGGCUGAUUCUUUUUAUUUUUAAUGAUUUAAUAAUAUUCAAGUAUGAGGGGAGAAUUAGCAAUUUUGGGGUCUAAAAUAUUUUAUGAAAGCUAAAAUGCACUGGCAGUAUCCCCUAAAAGCUGACACCUUCCACAGCUCCAUGGAUGUAACAAGAAGGACAGGCUUGGACACCUGUUGAUGUUAGAUGGGGAAGCAGCAAAAUGUCCAAAAUAUUUUUUUGGAGAUAUAUCACUCUUUUUUUGUAGUCUAGUCAUUUUAACACCUUUCUUCUAUCAUAAGUACUAAACCAUGUUGCAUUUUUCCAACUUUCUGCUUAUCUUUUUCCCUCUCUUGCAGCUUUUGACAAGGCUUCCAAGACAGCACAAGAUGGAGUAGAAAAGGUGGCUGGACAGGCUGCAGAAGCAAUGUCUGGCUUCGGGAAAAAAUGUGGAUUUAAAAAAUGAUGCUAAUUCAAGUCAACAGUACUGCUUGUAUAAAUCUCUUUGGUCUGCUAUUAGCUACUUCUUUGUGUAGAAAAAUGAAAACUGUUUGAUAUCUGGAUAAUUUUGUUCUCUUCAAAUACAAAUUUUUAAGGCAGAAGGUCCCCCUCAUCCUUUACAUAGAAAAAUUACAUAUUUUGGCACCAUUGCUCACAAUCGUCAACAUGGCUCAAAAGGCUUCAGCAGUGCUGUUCCCCUGCUCUUACAACAGCUCAGUGAUUAUUGCCACAUUUGCUGAGUGUAUUUACAAAGCCAGUGAAACUGUUCAUAAUUAGGACACCAGAAUAGUCAUGUGAUGAAACUGAGUCUUCUUCCAAUAAUCAAAACUUAAGCUGCGGUUAUAUGUCUUGUCAGUUGUUUGUUUGUUCCCAUCCUCUGCAUUUUUAGAUAAAGAUAAAUAAAGGUGUGUAAGAUUUCCA